AAGAAGGACCUGGAGAUUGGGUUUGGGAGGUCAAGCUGGGGAUGGUGCCAAGAAUGUGCAGAAGACUGAUAACCAGAGGAUAUUAUGAUCCAACUAACAAUCUUAAAAAAAUCAUUUUGGGUGCCGCUGUGCAGAGAACAGACUUUAAGGGGAGAAAAGUGGAAGCAGUAAAACCAGAUUGAAUGUGUGGUCCCCAGAAGUGGAGAAAGUGUUUCCAAAAGAAGGAAGUGAAUAAAUGUAUCAAAUGCUGCCAAGAGAACAGCCGAAUCCUUUGGGUAGGAUGGACCCUACCCCUAACUCAAAGGAAAUCAGCAAAGCCCAGCUCCCUGGCCACGCAGUUGCUUCAGGGAAAAACAUGUGACUCAACAAGAGCCAACAGGCCUUGAGGAACAUUUGUUGGGCUUCUGGGGCGUGGGGGAAGCUGCUUCUUCCUUUUCCUCAACUGCUACCAAAACUCUCUUUUCCUGUUGGAUGUGGAAAAAAAUGUUCUAACCCUGGAAACUGCUGGCAGCCAUCCUGAAACCCUAAGAGGAGAACCUCCCUCACACUGGAGUCAGGAUCGAGGAAACAAAGCAGAGAUAUUGAUUGAGAAAAAGAAGUUUUUUUGCCCUGGAUCAAACCAAACUUUAUCUGGAAGUUUCAGUUACAUGAACCAAAACAUUCCCUUUAUUAUCUAAGUCAGUGAGUUGACUUUUAGAGACGCAACCAUCUACAUCUUUACCUGAUCUCACUGGCCUCUUAAAUACAGCAUGGGACACACAAACCAUAUUGACCAAGAUGGACUUAACGUCCCCCUCAGCUUCACUAAACUUUAGACAGGUUGCUUCCAGACUAUAGGCCCCUGACCUCCCUUUACUUAGAGCAUUUAAUCUAGAAAACUUUCUAUUGUAAAUUCUUUCUCUGCCCUUUUGAGAUUCUUUCCCUUCCCCGUUGACUAAAUCUUUUAACAAGCCUUUUGCCAGUUUUACAACUCUGGAAUGUCUUUCUCAAGGACCUGGGAGCCAUCCCUUUGAAAUGUAAUCAUCCAGGGAGAUAGCAUCCCCACCUCCCAGUCUUUGUGGAAGGGUAGGAGCUUAACUUCAACAAGUGCCAAUUAGCAAACACAGAUGGCCUAAUCACAUUGACCAGCCUCCACCUUGAUGUCUUCCAGUAAUUUCUACUAGCUCACCUCAGCACUUAAAACACUCCCAUCUCUUGCUCCAGGGGAGUUGCGUUCAAUCUCUAUUCUAUUGCAGUAACCUUAAAGUCUUUUUUUCCAGUGCAAUUUUUCUUUUGUAUCUCAGGAGCUCCUUUACUCUACAUUCUGCUUUAGAAAAUCAGGCACUACACAAAUUACUCAAAACUUUCACAAAGUGUUUUGCUGGUGUACCCUUAAUCUGACACUUUCCGUAGUAGCACCCAAUACUGGCUUGUUCCAGUGAGAUGAGCAGCUUCAAUCCU
ensembl:lncRNA